AGGAAUAACUGGAAAGCGUAAAGAAAGGCAUAGCUAAGCUGUGGGAGUGAAGAGGAAGUCAAAACACAUUCAGUGUAAUGGCUCACUAUGACUUGAAAAAAGAGUUGGCACUGAGGGGGAUUGAGUGCAAUGGGUACUACCAUUUAUCUUAUUCAGGUGGGCUAAAAAGAAUUAUGAGAGGC